rnacentral:rRNA from 1 species
CAAUAGCGUAUAUUAAAGUUGUUGCAGUUAGAACGCUCGGAGUCGGAUUUCGGGGCGGGCCGACCGGUCUGCCGAUGGGUACGCACUGGUCGGCGCGUCCUUCCUUCCGGAGACCGUGCCUACUCUUAACUGAGCGGGGGCGGGAGACGGAUCGUUUACUUUGAAAAAAUCAGAGUGUUUCAAGCAGGCAGCUCGCUCUUGCAUGGAUUAGCAUGGGAUAAUGAAAUAGGACUUUGGUGCUAUUUUGUUGGUUUCGAACACCGAAGUAAUGAUUAAAAGGGACAGUCAGGGGCACUCGUAUUCCGCAGAGAGAGGUGAAAUUCUCAGACCCGCGGAAGACGAACCACUGCGAAAGCAUUUGCCAGGGAUGUUUUCACUGA